rnacentral:rRNA from 1 species
UUGAACGCUGGCGGCAUGCCUUACACAUGCAAGUCGAACGGUAACGCGGGGCAACCUGGCGACGAGUGGCGAACGGGUGAGUAAUGCAUCGGAACGUGCCCAACAGUGGGGGAUAGCCCGGCGAAAGCCGGAUUAAUACCGCAUACGACCUGAGGGUGAAAGCGGGGGACCGUAAGGCCUCGCGCUGUUGGAGCGGCCGAUGUCAGAUUAGGUUGUUGGUGGGGUAAAAGCCUACCAAGCCGACGAUCUGUAGCUGGUCUGAGAGGACGACCCGCCACACUGGAACUGAGACACGGUCCAGACUCCUACGGGAGGCAGCAGUGGGGAAUUUUGGACAAUGGGGGCAACCCUGAUCCAGCCAUUCCGCGUGAGUGAAGAAGGCCUUCGGGUUGUAAAGCUCUUUCAGCAGGAACGAAACGGUAGGCUUUAAUACGGUCUGCUAAUGACGGUACCUGCAGAAGAAGCACCGGCUAACUACGU